rnacentral:rRNA from 1 species
UUCGGGUUGUAAAGCCCUUUUGCCGGGGACGAUGAUGACGGUACCUGCAGAAGCAGCUGCGGCUAACUACGUGCCAGCAGCCGCGGUAAUACGUAGGCAGCGAGCGUUGUUCGGAGUUACUGGGCGUAAAGGGUGCGUAGGCGGCCGAUUAAGUUUGUCGUGAAAUCUCCCGGCUCAACUGGGAGGGUGCGGCGGAUACUGACCGGCUCGAGUGUGGGAGAGGAGAGUGGAAUUCCUGGUGUAGCGGUGAAAUGCGUAGAUAUCAGGAGGAACACCGGCGGUGUAGACGGCUCUCUGGACCAUAACUGACGCUGAGGCACGAAAGCGUGGGUAGCAAACAGGAUUAGAUACCCUGGUAGUCCACGCCCUAAACGAUGCACAUUUGGUGUGGGCAGUUCAUUCUGUCCGUGCCGGAGCUAACGCGUUAAAUGUGCCGCCUGGGGAGUACAGUCGCAAGGCUGAAACUCAAAGGAAUUGACGGGGGCCCGCACAAGCGGUGGAGCAUGUGGUUCAAUUCGACGCAACGCGAAGAACCUUACCUGGGCUCGAACGGCCUCUCAACGGCUCUGGAAACAGGGUUAUCCCGCAAGGGAGUGGGGUCGAGGUGCUGCAUGGCUGUCGUCAGCUCGUGUCGUGAGAUGUUGGGUUAAGUCCCGCAACGAGCGCAACCCUUGUCCUGUGUUGCCAAACCCGCAAGGGA